AGUGAACGCUGGCGGUAGGCCUAACACAUGCAAGUCGAACGGCAGCACAGUAAGAGCUUGCUCUUACGGGUGGCGAGUGGCGGACGGGUGAGGAAUACAUCGGAAUCUACUUUUUCGUGGGUGAUAACGUAGGGAAACUUACGCUAAUACCGCAUACGACCUACGGGUGAAAGCAGGGGAUCUUCGGACCUUGCGCGAUUGAAUUAGCCGAUGUCGGAUUAGCUAGUUGGCGGGGUAAAGGCCCACCAAGGCGACGAUCCGUAGCUGGUCUGAGAGGAUGAUCAGCCACACUGGAACUGAGACACGGUCCAGACUCCUACGGGAGGCAGCAGUGGGGAAUAUUGGACAAUGGGCGCAAGCCUGAUCCAGCAAUACCGCGUGGGUGAAGAAGGCCUUCGGGUUGUAAAGCCCUUUUGUUGGGAAAGAAAAGCAGCAGGUGAAUACCCCGCUGUUCUGACGGUACCCAAAGAAUAAGCACCGGCUAACUUCGUG
rnacentral:rRNA from 1 species